CAUUGUUCGGCCUUUUGUCCAUGCAGUGCUGUUUGCGAUGCUGUGGGAAUGGCUGGGAAAGGACCAGGGAAGAGGCCAGGUAAGAGGCAGCAUGUGAAGGACAGGUAGGAUGUGGGCACAGGGCGGUUACAAGGGGCAAAGGAGGUGUGCCAGGCUCAGGGGAGGAAGGCCUAAAGAAACGUUUAAACAACUUCACUCCCCACUGGUUUUAUCAGAUUCUAAAUUUAAUCAUCCGUUUUAUACUUGGAUUUAAAAAAAAAAAACAAUGAAUACACACUCAUUUAAUACCCACAUCUGUGUAUUUUCAUUCAGCUCAGUUGUCAAAACGCAGGCAUUUCAGUGAUCCAACCAUAUUAGAAACCCAAAACCCAGUGGGCCCAGGUAGUGGUAUUUCAAGAAACACUUAGACAAGAAGUAAAACACACGUAAUUUUAUUGGGUAGGAAAUUUGUUACAGGCUUUGGUUCUAAAUUCCCUUCACACCUGCUUGUUCUUGUGGCUCAUUUACAAACCCAGUGAUGUCUACUUUUUCUUUUUCUUAUUUGCAAUGGAUUUGCUGGACUGGGACACCACUGUGUCGUCUUUCAGGAGGCUCGGCAUGAAAUUCAAGGAUGUGGCAUGCACUGGUUCCUUGAUCACAGUGAUGGCGACCUCACAGUCUUGCCUUUUGGUCUCUUCCUCUCUCAAGCUGUUCAGCCUAACAAGAAGCAAACACAAGAAAGUAUCUUUUUUUUUUUUUUUUGCGGUACGCGGGCCUCUCACUGUUGUGGCCUCUCCCCUUGUGGAGCACAGGCUCCGGACGCGCACGCUCAGCGGCCAUGGCUCACGGGCCCAGCCGCUCCGCGGCAUGUGGGAUCUUCCCGGACCGGGGCACAAACCCGUGUCCCCUGCAUCGGCAGGCGGACCCUCAGCCUCUGCGCCACCAGGGAAGCCCGAUAUCUUUUUUUGUCUUUGAAAUUUCAAAACCGGUUUUUAUGUUGUAUGUGGUGUAAAGUAGUCCAUACCUGGAUCUCAACAGUUUCUGUGAACAGAACUAAACUGUCCUCACUUUGCCUGAAAUAAAAAGUGGUGCAAUAGCUAGAUAGUUUAAGACAAAGUUUUCACACAUCUAAGGUGACUUGUGACACACUUGUCUCUGAAGCAACUUAGCUAGUAAGUAGCCUUUUAAAAUACUGUUGUAAAAAAAUAAAAUACUGUUGUAGCCGUUUCCCCUAAGUCUAAUGCUCUCUUCCACAGACCAAUGGGCUUGAGAUGCCCUUUACAGAGGUCAGACAUUUGCACUUGGGACUGACCUGUCUGCAUGGAACUAAGCCUGGACAGUGGUUCUAGAAAGUAGAUCUCACCCUUGAACUCCAGACUUUGUCUCCAGCUGCCACUUGCUGUCACCACGUGGAUGUCUCAUCAGGCACCUUAAGUCUGACAUGCCCAAACCCAACCCUUUAAUUUCACCCCUAAAACUCAUCUCCCCCUCAAACCCCAGUCCUCCCCUUCAUGAUAAAUGGCAGCUCUGUUCUUCCAGUCGUUCAGGCCAAAAAAACCCUUAGAAUCAUCUUUGCCUUCUCUUUCCCUCUCAAACUCCACAGCCUUCAAAAUACAUGCAGAUAAUUCCAAGAGCUUCCUUACGGGUUUGUCAACAGCAAAGCCAUCGUGAGCUUACUGAACCCCCUUCCUUGCUCAGGGCCCCCUCCCGGCCGGGCACUGCCUCACUCAGUGCAUCUUCUGGGCCACGCCGACGUGGCUACACCUGCUGCUACACCCCUUCCAACACCCCAGAGGUGCUCCCGCCUCAAGGCCCCCGCACAGGACAGUCUCCUCCCAGCUGCGCUCAAGUGUGGCUUCAUCCAAAGACCUUCCCUUCCCACCCCACCCUGUCUCUCAGUCUCCACCGCCUGCCUCGCUUUCCACCGCAUCACUGAUCCCUCCCAAUUGUGUAAAGAAGUAUAGCACUGCGGUAACGGGUGUAAAUCCUGGAGUCGAACUGCCUGCGUGCAAACCCCCAGCUCCACUGCUUACCAGUUCUGUGACAGUGGGCAAGUUACUCGACCUCUGUGCCUCAGUUCCCCCUUGGAGCCGAUGAAGCACCUACAAGUCGUCUGGGCAUUAAAUGAGUGGACCCCUGGGAAGUGCGUAGCACCUGGUAAGCACCCCGAGGGCGUUCACUCUUCCUGUUCUUCACGUGUCACUACGUCCCUCUCUCCCCCGGAAUGUGAUGCCCACGAGAGGACAGGCUUUCUGUUCCCGCCAGAACCCUGGCACCAGAAGAGCCCUCACCAUAUAGCAGGUGCGCAGCAGCGGUAGAUCCCAUGGCCGCGGCACUGUUUUCAUGGGUAGCUGUGAAUACAAACCUCUGAUUGCCUUAUCUUGCUCAUGUCAAGCAAGACUCCUAACUUGCUUGAAGACGACUUAGUGUUGCCGUCCUGCACCUCAGAUUCCUGGCUUCUUAGAGCACUUGGACUCCUGUUCUGGGUGUUCUGAUCAACGACAAACACAUAAGAGGAUUUCUGUUUUCCGUGGAGAUACACGUGUACGUGAUUUUAACGUGGUAUAAUUGAGUUACAAUGACCUGCACAUAACGCGCACUAUGACGGUGAGUUUCGAUGUGUCUACACCUGUGAAACCAUCGCCUCAGAGAGUGGACGUAUCCAUCACCCCAGGUUUCCUGUGCCCCAGGAAGCCCUCUUCCCUCAUCCUCGGGCAACUACUUACCUGUUUUCUGUCACUACAGAUCACUUGGCAUUUCUAGAAUUUUAUGUCAUUGGAAUCACAGCGGUAUGUAUCCUCCUCUGUCUGGCCUCUUUCACCCAGCAUAAUUAAUGCACCCAUGCUGUUGGCAUGUGUUAGGAGUUAUUUCACUGCUGGCUCAUCCCCGUUGUAUGGUUAUAAUAGGACUUGUUUAUCUUGAUGGAUGUGCGGGGCCAGAUUGGAAACCAGACGUGAACUUGAUCGGAUGGUUCCUGAGGCUGUCCCCGAGGCCAGCGUGUCCGUGUGUGGUUACUGGAGCCCACGUGCUGCCAUCCACGCAGGCAUGGAUGAGUUUAAGGUGGACAUGACCCAGCCCCAGCCUGUGGCCAGGCUCUCGGAUGACCUGGAGGGGGCGUAUCUGCUGAUCGGGUGGACUGGGUGCUACUGAAGUUGAACCUGCACGAGGGUCCAAGGCACAUCCUGGGACUCGUGGUCAGAGGUGCUCCUUAGAUGACCAACAGUGAGAGGUCUCCCUGAGUGAGCAGCUCUGGCGAGUUUCCCAGCUGGGGUUUCCGCUGGCCCCCAACACUCUCCCUUGUGGCUCCGAAUGAAGGACUCAACGAUCAGAAACCCUUCCAGCCCACUACCCUGAAACCCCCGCUCCAUCUGACCCAGCGGCUAGAUCUUUCGGUCAACGGCCCACGCUGUCCCUGCUCCCCCAGGGCUUUGGCGUGAAGCCCAGUGUCCAGCCCCACGAGCAGGUCCUGUCCUCUGGGACGCGCCCAGCAUCCUGCACACGCUCGGGAGCUGUUCCUUGGCAUCUGUGCUCUGUGACGAGCGAUCCACUCUUGUAAACACUAGAUCAUGGGAUGAAACGUUUCAUAAAAACCACCUCAGAUGCCGUAGGCCUCGUGGUCAAGCCAGGGGAGCCCCACACCCCUGAGGGUGUCGGUAGGCCCUCUGACACUCAUUACGUAUUUCCACUGUCAUAGGUCAUGACCAGAAAAUACAUUUUCCCUAAUGUAGAAAAAAGACAAUACACUCCUUUCAGAAUGUGAAAAGAAGUCUUAAAUAAGUUAUUGCCUGAAGGGUUACAAAAGCCCAAGAUAGUCUUGAUGAUGGUUUAACCAUUCCAGAAUAAAACCCAUUCUUUACUCUGUAAA